UACGAAGGGGGCGAGCGUUGUUCGGAAUUACUGGGCGUAAAGGGCGCGUAGGCGGCCCCUUUUGUCGCGUGUGAAAGCCUCGGGCUCAACCUGGGAGGUGCGCGCGAAACGGGGGGGCUUGAGUUCGGGAGAGGAGAGUGGAAUUCCCAGUGUAGAGGUGAAAUUCGUAGAUAUUCGGAAGAACACCAGUGGCGAAGGCGGCUCACUGGCUCAUACUGGACGCUGAGGUGCGAAAGCGUGGGGAGCAAACAGG
rnacentral:rRNA from 1 species